rnacentral:rRNA from 1 species
AAAUUGAAGAGUUUGAUCAUGGCUCAGAUUGAACGCUGGCGGCAGGCCUAACACAUGCAAGUCGAACGGUAGCACAGAGAGCUUGCUCUUGGGUGACGAGUGGCGGACGGGUGAGUAAUGUCUGGGAAACUGCCCGAUGGAGGGGGAUAACUACUGGAAACGGUAGCUAAUACCGCAUAAUGUCGCAAGACCAAAGUGGGGGACCUUCGGGCCUCACACCAUCGGAUGUGCCCAGAUGGGAUUAGCUAGUAGGUGGGGUAACGGCUCACCUAGGCGACGAUCCCUAGCUGGUCUGAGAGGAUGACCAGCCACACUGGAACUGAGACACGGUCCAGACUCCUACGGGAGGCAGCAGUGGGGAAUAUUGCACAAUGGGCGCAAGCCUGAUGCAGCCAUGCCGCGUGUAUGAAGAAGGCCUUCGGGUUGUAAAGUACUUUCAGCGGGGAGGAAGGUGUUGUGGUUAAUAAC